rnacentral:rRNA from 1 species
CACGAACGCUGGCGGCAGGCUUAACACAUGCAAGUCGAGCGCCCCGCAAGGGGAGCGGCAGACGGGUGAGUAACGCGUGGGAAUCUACCCAUCUCUACGGAAUAACGCAUGGAAACGUGUGCUAAUACCGUAUACGUCCUUCGGGAGAAAGAUUUAUCGGAGAUGGAUGAGCCCGCGUUGGAUUAGCUAGUUGGUGGGGUAAAGGCCUACCAAGGCGACGAUCCAUAGCUGGUCUGAGAGGAUGAUCAGCCACACUGGGACUGAGACACGGCCCAGACUCCUACGGGGGGCAGCAGUGGGGAAUAUUGGACAAUGGGCGCAAGCCUGAUCCAGCCAUGCCGCGUGAGUGAUGGAGGCCCUAGGGUUGUAAAGCUCUUUCACCGGUGAAGAUAAUGACGGUAACCGGAGAAGAAGCCCCGGCUAACUUCGUGCCAGCCGCCGCGGUAAGAC